CAGCAGUGGGGAAUAUUGCACAAUGGGCGCAAGCCUGAUGCAGCAACGCCGUGUGAGUGAAGAAGGUUUUCGGAUCGUAAAACUCUGUCCUAAGGGAAGAAACAAAUGACGGUACCUUAGGAGGAAGCCCCGGCUAACUACGUGCCAGCAGCCGCGGUAAUACGUAGGGGGCAAGCGUUAUCCGGAAUCACUGGGCGUAAAGGGUGCGUAGGCGGCUUAGCAAGCCAGGGGUGAAAGGCAUUGGCUCAACCAAUGUAAGCCUUUGGAACUGUUAAGCUUGAGUGCAGGAGAGGUAAGUGGAAUUCCUAGUGUAGAGGUGAAAAUUCGUAGAUAUUAGGAGGAACACCAGUGGCGAAGGCGACUUACUGGACUGUAACUGACGCUGAUGCACGAAAGCGUGGGUAGCGAACAGGAUUAGAUACCCUGGGAG
rnacentral:rRNA from 1 species